UCCUGUUUCAUUUGGGCAUGAGCCUUGAAG
rnacentral:piRNA from 1 species